CGUGGGAGCGGGCUUGCUCGCGAGGGUGUCGACACGGUUUCACAUGCAGACCGCGUCGUUCGCAUCGCGAGCAAGCCCGCUCCCACA
rnacentral:antisense_RNA from 1 species